rnacentral:tRNA from 1 species
GGGAAGGUGACUCAGUGGUAGAGUGCUUGCCUUGCAUGCAUGAGGCCCUGGGUU